UGUGCAUGCUUCACACACGUUCAUGUGCA
rnacentral:piRNA from 1 species